ensembl:rRNA 5S_rRNA 5S ribosomal RNA
UCACACAGCCAUAUCACCCUGCAGCCCAAGACUGGUUGCCCACUGAAGCUAAGCAGGGUUGAGCCUGGUCAGUACCUGGAUGGAAGACCUCCUGGCAAAACUAGGUUGCAGUUGGAA